GUCACCAUUGCCUAGCAAAGAGUCCCUGCUGCUUGGUGGAGAAGGAGACCUCUGUGGAAGUGUGUUGGUUGUGGAGUCUUGCCUGUCUUCUCUAUGGUAUCCACGGGGUUGUCCCAUGAUCCUAGGAGAGGAAAAACAUAAGCCAGCCUGAAGAUACGUCAAGCACAGCCACAGGAAUAAACUGCAAAAUCCCUAAGAAUCCAAAAGGAUCUGCAGGAUUUCUCAAGCCUGCCUAGAUGUCGUAAGUAGGGCUGCAUUAUUCCUGUAAGAUGAGAAACAGACAGCCUAUUUUGGCUUUUGCAUGGUGAUCAAGCCUCUGUUGUAUUUCAUCUGCAAGUCUUCUCAUUAGGAGGGGCUUUUUCAUUGUCUGCUGCUGGAUGGAACAGCCUCUUGCCACAGAUUAUUUGGCUGCCAGGGAUUUCAAAGAGCACAAGAGACUUCAGCCCUUGCCAGAACGGUGGUGCAGUGAUGUAUUACCUGCCAACAGCACAAUGUGAGGCAGGGUCCAGCCGUUCUGCCCAGCAUACAACUUGAGGGAGCAGCCCCUUUUGAAGACCUCCAGGUGGACUUCACAGGAAUGCCAAAGUGUGGAGUGAUCAUGUGUGGAUCAAGGACUGGAAUGUAGCCCACCCACAACUACGGUGGGAAGGACCCCAGACCAUCAUUUUGACGACUCUCACAGCAUGAAAAUAGAAGGAUUCCCAGCCUGGAUCAAUCACAGUCAUGUAUCAUCUACAUUGUCUGAGACCUGAGAGGUGAGACUGAGCCUGGUGGACCCCUGCAAAGUGACAUUGAGAAAGAUGGCAAGCCCUGCUACAGUCACAACCAGAAGCUUACUGUUGUAUGCAUGGCAAAAGAAUGAGGAUACUCAUCAUGGGAUUUAUUCUCCUUAAAAUUUG
rnacentral:lncRNA from 1 species